CUUAUUCUUCCUGCUGUAAGAGUUCAUCCCAAGGAAAACGUCAUUACUAAGAGUGAAGGAAUCCAGCGCUGAUGUCACAGCCUGCACACAUGAUGGAGACG